UGGCAGAGAGCUCCAGAGCAAGGCGGCAGUGACCGGUGUCGCCGCCCUGCUGCCCACACCUGAGGAGGACGUGGGAGUUGCCCCAGCUACUGCCGGUCCUUCAUGCAGACCAGAGGCUGGACUUGCCCCCGCUCAGAACCAGAAGCAGACCUCUGCCCAGUCUAGGACCCGCCCUGCUGACACUGGAGCCCAGGCCAAAGGAGGAGGAGCGCCCCCUAGAGCACGGGGCAGAAGAGCAUCGAGCCCUCCCCGCCAAACUGCACGUGGUCCUCUGCGGGUGCGCAGGCCGCCCCUAUGAAUGUCUCUCAGCCCCCCCCUAUCCUUCAGCCCCCGCAGCAGCAUUCCCUCCAGCCUCCCUGCCCUACUCACACUGCCAUCUGGUGGCCAAAGUGGGGAAAAUCCCCUCCAGCAUUCCUGCCUUAUACACACUGCCUUCUGGUGGCCAAAGUGGGGAAAAUCCCCUCCAGCAUUCCUGCCUUUUACACACUGCCAUCUGGUGGCCAAAGUGGGGAAAAUCCCCUCCAGCAUUCCUGCCUUAUACACACUGCCAUCUGGUGGCCAAAGUGAGUAAUGCGUGCUGGUGAGUGCAUCUCGCUAUGGUGCCCCUGUACGAGUGGACAAAAUGUCUGGGGUCUCAUUGCUGGAAUCACGGGACAAUUUGGGCUUCAUGUGUCAAACAACGGGCUUGAGUAAAGACCUGGGUUGGAGAACUUUGGGCAGGGAAAAUGGCUUAUUUUGUUAUAUAUUUUUUCAUAGUAAAUAAAAUUCUAAUAAAACUC